AUUGAACGCUGGCGGCAGGCUUAACACAUGCAAGUCGAGCGGGGUGAUGGUGCUUGCACUAUCACUUAGCGGCGGACGGGUGAGUAAUGCUUAGGAAUCUGCCUAUUAGUGGGGGACAACAUCUCGAAAGGGAUGCUAAUACCGCAUACGUCCUACGGGAGAAAGCGGGGGAUCACUUGUGACCUUGCGCUAAUAGAUGAGCCUAAGUCGGAUUAGCUAGUUGGUGGGGUAAAGGCCUACCAAGGCGACGAUCUGUAGCGGGUCUGAGAGGAGGAUCCGCAACACUGGGACUGAGACACGGCCCAGACUCCUACGGGAGGCAGCAGUGGGGAAUAUUGGACAAUGGGGGGAACCCUGAUCCAGCCAUGCCGCGUGUGUGAAGAAGGCCUUAUGGUUGUAAGGCACUUUAAGCGAGGAGGAGGCUCUUUUGGUUAAUACCCAAGAUGAGUGGGCGUUACUCGCAGAAUAAGCACCGGCUAACUCUGUGCCAGCCGCCGCCGUAA
rnacentral:rRNA from 1 species